GCGUCAUAAUGCUGCGACAGACAGGUUUGUUGUUGUUUUGAACGAAUCAGUUUUUACGGUGUUCAGAUGGAUUUAAAGCUUUUACAGAUGUACUGCAGCACAACAAGCUGAUGGAGGUGAAAGAGGGACAUCAGUUUCAGAGAAGUGGACACCAGUCUUUAAAUGCCAGAGAUAAAGAGUUUGUCACUCAUAAAGGUGACCUGAAGAGACACAGAAGGAUACACACAGGAGAGAGACCUCACAUCGCUGUCUAAACCGCUGCACUCAGAAACAGCAUCUGAAGACACACACACAAGGAUCCACACCCAAGAAAACUCUGACGUUUGUCCUCAGUGUUGAAGGAGCUUCAAAUAUCUGAGUAACUUAAGACACAUGACAGUCCAUUCAGAGAUAAAACUGCACCACUGAACACAGAAUGUCUCAUUUAAUCUAAAAUCCAAAUAUUGAGUGUAGUUUCUCCCAAAAUAGCUGCUAAAAGUCAUGAUUAUUAUUUAUUAUUAUGAUACUAUUAUUUAUUCAUAUUAAUUUAUAUAUUCAUUGUUUUAUGUUAGAUAUUAUAUAUUACAUUAUGGGGAAUGAAUUGUCAUUGUUAUUUUGACAAGAGUUUAAUGUAUUCCAACAACAGUCUGUAUGUUCCUCAAAACAAUCCUUCUCACUCCACAAAGAGCAUUUAUUAUCGUUCUACUCAAUUUUCAUGUCUCUGCCGUUGCAUCACAUCAUCAGUUAAUCAUUUUUCUGUGUUCUGUAAAUACUUUGUACAGUAUGUAUUGUGUUCAGUAUUCUGUGUUUUGUGUAUAUUGUAUUGAACAUGACAGUGUUAAUAGUCCAUGCAAACGCUAUAGAUUUUUACACACUGUUGCAUAAUAAAUUGUUCUGAUUUGAUUA